GUGAAUCAUCGAAUUUUUGAACGCAAAUUGCACUCUCUUCGGAGAGAAUGCCUGUUUGAAGGUCAGCCUAUAAAAAAUCGACAUCGUUGCUGUUUUGCGGUGGCGUUCGUUGGAAAUUGGGUUAUGUUUAAUCUUAUGGUUUUAAGCGUCUUUAAAUUUUUUUUUUGGUUCCAUGAACGCUUCUUAGCUUUGUUUCUUUACACGUUUAAGGUAUCGAUCUUUAUUAGACGUGACCGUUAUAUCGGA
rnacentral:misc_RNA from 1 species